rnacentral:lncRNA from 1 species
GGUAUAAAUAAUAAAUAAUGAAAAGAGGCCAGGGACCAUAUUAACAUGCAUGCGAAGAUAACAAGGAUCUAAACAGAAAAUAUCCCGAUACCCUCUAUGCGCAGCAUUUAGAUAGGGACUAAAGCGAAGUAAAUAUAUAAAAAGGGUGCAAUUUGCAAAUAAUAAAAAAAUAAAAAUAAUGGCCAAAUUGUAGUACGCCCCAAAAUUAGAAGGACCAAGGGAAUAAAUAUACUGAAACUCAAAAACACGCGGAUCCCUCAAGAGUGGGUCGGGUCGCGCGCGGGUCAUAACCUAAACGACUUCGUUUCGGCGCCUAUGAGCCCCCGUUCAAAAUGGCGUCGUGUGGAAGGUCUAUUUAAACCAAAUUUUCUUUAAAAAAAAUAUUUUGCAGCUCUUGAAAUAAAAAAAACCUAAAGUUUCUCUGCUAGGGCUUUGGCCCUAGCCUUCGCCGCCGUCAGUUUGCCACAUCUCCACCGCGAUUACACCAUCAACAGUGGUCGAAGCUGCACGCCAAGGGCUUUUUAGCUCCUCCUUACGCGGAUUUGAAGGUGUUACCAGGUAAUCUUCUCCCCUUUUUUUUCUUUAUUUUUUCUUUUGCAAACAAGAAAUAUAAUAACUAAUGUUGAGCAAACAGAAAAGAAAGAAGAAAUCAAAAAAAAAAAUCUCAAAUCCCCUUUUUUAGAAACUGUUUCUUUCUAUUGCCUUUCU